rnacentral:rRNA from 1 species
UGGGGAAUAUUGCACAAUGGAGGGAACUCUGAUGCAGCGACGCCGCGGGAACGAAGAAGGCUUUCGAGUAGUAAAGUUCUUUUAUAUGGGAAGAUAAUGACGGUACCAUAAGAAAAAGCCCCGGCUAACUACGUGCCAGCAGCCGCGGUAAUACGUAGGGGGCUAGCGUUGUCCGGAAUCACUGGGCGUAAAUGGUUCGCAGGCGGAAAUGCAAGUCAGGUGUAAAAGGCAGUAGCUUAACUACUGUAAGCAUUUGAAACUGCAUAUCUUGAGAAGAGUAGAGGUAAGUGUAAUUUUUAGUGGAGCGGUUAAAUACGGUGAUAUUAAAAAGAAUACCGUUUUCGAAGACGACUUACUGUGCUCAUUCUGACGCUGAGGAACGAAAGCGUGGGUAGCAAACAUG